rnacentral:rRNA from 1 species
CACACCGCCCGUCACGUCAUGGGAGUUGCCAAGGCCUGAAGUCCGUGGGCUAACCCGAGUUCGCUCGGGAGGCAGCGGCCGAAGGCCGGGGGAGCGACUGGGACG